rnacentral:rRNA from 1 species
UACGUAGGGUGCAAGCGUUAAUCGGAAUUACUGGGCGUAAAGCGUGCGCAGGCGGUUUUGUAAGUCUGUCGUGAAAGCCCCGGGCUUAACCUGGGAAUUGCGAUGGAGACUGCAAGGCUUGAAUCUGGCAGAGGGGGGGUAGAAUUCCACGUGUAGCAGUGAAAUACGUAGAGAUGUGGAGGAACACCGAUGGCGAAGGCAGCCCCCCUGGGUCAAGAUUGACGCUCAUGCACGAAAGCGUGGGGAGCAAACAGG